rnacentral:tRNA from 1 species
GCCUUCGUAGUGUAAUGGUAGCACAUUUGGCACGCAUUAGAGAAAUCCAGGUUCGAGUCCCGGCGAGGGCA